rnacentral:rRNA from 1 species
UACGGGGGGGGCAAGCGUUGUUCGGAAUUACUGGGCGUAAAGGGCUCGUAGGCGGCCAACUAAGUCAGACGUGAAAUCCCUCGGCUUAACCGGGGAACUGCGUCUGAUACUGGAUGGCUUGAGUUUGGGAGAGGGAUGCGGAAUUCCCAGUGUAGAGGUGAAAUUCGUAGAUAUUGGGAGGAACACCGGUGGCGAAGGCGGCGACCUGGGUCGAUACUGACGCUGAUGCGCGAAAGCCAGGGGAGCAAACGGG